rnacentral:lncRNA from 1 species
AGAAAUAUUCAUUAUAACUCCAAUCAAUUACUUGAUGGAAAACAAACUCAACUUUGCUAAAAACCACAAAUAUCUUCGUUUAAAAGGAAAAAAAAAACACUAUAUAAUAUUUUAAAACAUUAAAAAUGGGUUUCAAUGAUAUUUUUGGCGAUUGGAAAAAUGGAAGAGAAAAAAAAGAAUAGUUUGAUUUUGUCGGUGGAGGAGUACGUAUGACUAUGAACAUUACUUAUGGCUAUAACCUGCUGGCUACCGGUCC